AGGAAUUAGGCAAAUUUCCCCCGUACGUUCGCAAUAAGGGGGGCCUCUGGUGGUGAGCUUAAUCGCAAAGCUGCUGGAGGCCGCAGAGAAAUGGCUCUUCCAACUGUUUAACAAAAACACAGGUCUCUGCUAAGUCGAAAGACGAAGUAUAGGGGCUGACGCCUGCCCAGUGCUGGAAGGUUAAGGGGAGAGGUUAGGCGCAAGCCGAAGCUUUGAGCCGAAGCCCCAGUGAACGGCGGCCGUAACGAUAACGGUCCUAAGGUAGCGAAAUUCCUUGUCGGGUAAGUUCCGACCCGCACGAAUGGCGUAAUGAGAGGAGCACUGUCUCAACGAGGGACUCGGCGAACAUUGAAGGACGUGUGAAGAUACACGUGACCCGCAGCGGGACAAAAAGACCCCGUGAAGCUUUACUACAACUUGCCAUUGAGUUAGGGCUAAACCUGUGUAGUAUAGGUGGGAGGCUUUGAAGCUGGGACGCCAGUCUCGGUGGAGCCACCGUUGAAAUACCACCCUGGUUUAUUCUUGGCUCUAACCUGUCGCCGUUAUCCGGCAUGGGAACAGUGGCUGGUGGGUAGUUUGACUGGGGCGGUCGCCUCCGAAAGCGUAACAGAGGCGCCCAAAGGUUCCCUCAGGCUGAAUGGAAACCAGCCGUUGAGUGUAAAGGCACAAGGGAGCUUGACUGCAAGACCAACAAGUCGCGCAGGGACGAAAGUCGGGCUUAGUGAUCCCACGGUUCAGAGUGGAAUGGCCGUGGCUUACCGGAUAAAAGCUACUCCGGGGAUAACAGGGUAGUCUGGUCCAAGAGUUCAUAUCGACGACCAGGUUCGCCACCUUGAUGUCGGCUCAUCACAUCCUGGGGCUGGAUAAGGUCCCAAGUGUUGGGCUGUUCGCCCAUUAAAGUGGUACGUGAGCUGGGUUCAGACCGUCGUGAGACAGGCCGGUCUCUAUCCGCUGUGGGCGUAAGGGAUUUGAGAGAAGCUGCCCCUAGUACGAGAGGACCGGGGUGGACGGACCUCUAGUGUGCCAGUUGUUCUGCCAAGAGCAUUGCUGGGUAGCUACGUCCGGCAGAGAUAACCGCUGAAAGCAUCUAAGUGGGAAACUCGUCUCAAGAUUAGAUCCCUCAUCCGUAUGGAGUAAGACCGCUAGAAGACUACUAGUUUGAUAGGCGGCAGGUGUAAGCGCAGUAAUGUGUUCAGCUUAGCCGUACUAAUGGUCGAGGGCUUACGUUU
rnacentral:rRNA from 1 species